CUGAUAGCACCAGAGCCUCACGUUCUCUGUGUAUUUGUGGAGCAAGUGCAGCAUGGACAGGAGCAGAGCCAGCUCCCUUGCAUUGCCCUUCCAGUGUGCCUCAACCUUGACCUGGAGCAGGGUAGUCUGCAUGGGGUCUGGACCAUCCUUGUUGGUGUACA
rnacentral:sRNA from 1 species